AUACUUACCUGGCAGGGGAGACACCAUGAUCAUGAAGGUGGUUCACCCAGGGCGAGGCUCAGCCAUUGCACUUCGGCUGUGCUGACUUCUGCGAAUUCCCCAAAUGUGGGAAUCUCGACUGCAUAAUUUCUGGUAGUGGGGGACUGCGUUCGCGCUCUCCCCUG